rnacentral:rRNA from 1 species
CCGCCCGUCACAUCACGAAAGUGGGUUGUACUAGAAGCGCGCAGGCCAACCGCAAGGAGGCAGCGUUCCAAGGUAUGACUCAUGAUUGGGGUG